ensembl:miRNA gmo-mir-11200 gmo-mir-11200
CGUGCUGCGCUCAAGUUGCGCCUUGAUUCAGUGGGCUUACCUGACGUUGCUGUGCA